rnacentral:lncRNA from 1 species
GACCAAGGUGGAAGGGAUAUGUUGGAGGACUGGGGGAGGGAGGCAAGAGCUCUCCCUGUUCCGUAAUUUAAUGUCAGCAUAAUUUCAGUAGUUUAUCAACGUAGGCUACAGUACAGUACUUUUUUGGUACAGUGUUUGUGCGUUGACUGACAACAACAUUCCGAAACCACGAGCAGUCUACCGGACCUUUUACCAAUGCCUUUGAAAAGCAUACCUCUUAUGCUUUGCAGCGUACUACAAGCUGUAAUAGCAGGGACAUGAUAUGACAUGCCUUUGAUAUGAAGAAACUACACCAUAUUUGUUGCCAAUGUUUUUUUUUGUAUCCUUUUAGCCAGAAAUAACACAUGUCUAUAUCAAAAGCAAAAACAAUUAUGUUCCUAAUUAUUCCUGAAGUGUCCUUCAUGUUAAAACCAAAUGUUGAUGAAUUAAAACCAAUGUCACUGAACACCAGAGACAAGGUUCUCUUAUUUGGUAAUAACACCUUCUGCAUGUAGGGGCAGAUAUCAUUUACAGAAGUAGCCUAUUGCUACCACUAUUAUUAUCAUUAUUUUGCAGUAAUAGGUCUACACCAGUUUGUUUCAUUAAUAACUAUUUCCAGAGUUAUUUCAAAUCUGAAAAGUAUACAUCUGCAGACUCUGUGUGUUUGCACCUGUUUGUGAAUGAUUAUGAUGUUGGUGGCUUUCCAAAAUGAGAAGCCAGUUUGGGGCUGGGAGCCCUCAGCUACUUCCUGUCUGAGACAAACAUGCUUAACCAAUCAGCAGGGGUCUCUGGGAUGCCACAUGAAAGACAUGGAAGAGCGUGUGCUUUUACUCUGUAAUCUCUGUGACUGGAACUGUGUGUGUCUGGAUCUAAUUUCUGAAGAUCAGGCUGUUCCCUUCUGUCACGACUUCCGCCGAGUUGGUGCCUCUCCAUGUUCGGGCGGCGUUCGGCAGUCGUCGUCACCGGCUUUCUAGCUGCCACCGAUCCACAUUUCUUUUUCCAUUUGUUAUGUCUUGAUUGUAUACACCUGGUUCCCAUUACGUUAUUAUUAUUUCCCUAUUUAACCAUCUAGUUCUCAUUAUGUUUUGUGCGUGAUUGUUCCUGUUUUGUGUUAGGCUUGUGUGUUAGGGUUUGUUAUCCCUACGUGGAUUUAUUGUACUGUUUACUUUUCCAGAGUAAAGUACGUUAUUUUUACUCAGUUCUGUUUCCUGCGCUUGACUCCGUCCUCACCUAUACACCGCUGACGCUGACACCUUCCUCCGGAAAAACAACACAUUUUGCUUUAAUUCAGCAGUGAAAAUAACUGUUGAUGAUCAGUGUUAGACUGACAUCAAGGGCAAAGAUCUGGUUGUAUGUAAACAAAAAAAAGUAUGUAAUUCUGUGCUGAUAUAGGAUCAGAUU